UACGGGGGGUGCGAGCGUUGUCCGGAAUCACUGGGCGUAAAGGGCGCGUAGGUGGUCUGAUAAGGGUGUGGUGAAAGCCCGGGGCUCAACCCCGGGUCGGCCGUGCCGACUGUUAGACUAGAGUGCUGUAGGGGCAGGCGGAAUUCCGGGUGUAGCGGUGGAAUGCGUAGAGAUCCGGAGGAAGACCGGUGGCGAAGGCGAGUCCCUGGACAGAUCCUGACGCUGAGGCACGAAAGCUAGGGGAGCAAACAGG
rnacentral:rRNA from 1 species